UAUAUAUAACAUAUAUAUAUGUUUUUUUCAUUUUCAGUGUAUGCUGCUUGGAUUUAUUGUAUCAGUGUUGUUUAACAAUAAUAAUGCUUGUUUGUUAUUUGAAGAGCUUUAAUAAAAGUAAAAAAAAAAUAAAAAUCCUUCAACAGUUUGCGCAUGCGCACUCGUUCACGUUCGAAAAAAGCGGAGGGUUACGGAUGGAGAUCAUGAUCAGACUGUCAUCAUUACAGCCACAAGCAACAAACGGAGGAGUUCGGGCUGAACUCUCUUUUAAUUGUCCUCUUUUACUUCGACAGGAUUUUUUGUUUCACAGGGACCUUGUUAGCAUAAAUGCAACUUUAUCACGGAUUGUUCGCUUGACGUCUUUCGAAGUUUUUAAACUUUUCUUGUAUUGAUCUACUACAGAGCAGACUUACAUGGUGACCUUUUCACAGACGGACAACCUGUUGCAAGCUAUAUUCAUCCAGUCAAUGUUAUUGACCUUAUAAGUGCACAGAAGAACAUACUGUAAACCCAGGGUUUACAAAUGUACAGUGUAAAAUCUUAAAACUUUAAUAGCCUUUAUUAUUAUUAUUUGUAUUAUUUGUAUUUGUAUUUGCAUUUAAUGAUUAAAAAAAGACGUGUUAGAUGAGGGAGACAUACAAAAUGUCUAGUAGCCUCCAGGAGAGGUUUGGGAGGGACUAGUAGCGCAUCAGAUUUCUUGGAAGCAGUCAUCAUGCCCAUGUUUAAACAUGCAGAGAGAUGUCUAUCUGUGCAUAUUUUUAGUUUUCUGUGUCUAUUUCCUAACUUCCUCUGGUAGUUACCGACCUUCAGUGACUGGACAGCGCUUCUUGGAAGCUUUUCAGACUGUGAUAUGUUGUUCGUGUCUACAUUAUGUGACACAGUAGGGAAUGGUAUGUGUGUACAUCAUAUAGCCUAGAAAGUGGGGUAAUAUCAUACUUUUUAUUUUCAAUACAUUUUCCCUGAGACCUCACAUUUUGUCACAUGGAGUCAGUUUAGUUUUUCUUGACCAUUUCCACCCUCUCUCUUAUGUAGUAUUAGACUUUUUUUGCUGCCCCUUUAAGAGUUGUAUGUAAAAUGUAUCUUUGCAUAUGGAGGUAGGUACAGUGCUUACAAACUUAAAGGAGUAGUUCACUUUCAGAAUGAAAAUUCUGUCAUCAUUUACUCACCCCCCACUUGUUCCAAACAUGUAUG
rnacentral:lncRNA from 1 species